UUAGCGGAUGACUUGUGGCUGGGGGUGAAAGGCCAAUCAAACCGGGAGAUAGCUGGUUCUCCCCGAAAGCUAUUUAGGUAGCGCCUCGUGAAUUCAUCUCCGGGGGUAGAGCACUGUUUCGGCAAGGGGGUCAUCCCGACUUACCAACCCGAUGCAAACUGCGAAUACCGGAGAAUGUUAUCACGGGAGACACACGGCGGGUGCUAACGUCCGUCGUGAAGAGGGAAACAACCCAGACCGCCAGCUAAGGUCCCAAAGUCAUGGUUAAGUGGGAAACGAUGUGGGAAGGCCCAGACAGCCAGGAUGUUGGCUUAGAAGCAGCCAUCAUUUAAAGAAAGCGUAAUAGCUCACUGGUCGAGUCGGCCUGCGCGGAAGAUGUAACGGGGCUAAACCAUGCACCGAAGCUGCGGCAGCGACGCUUAUGCGUUGUUGGGUAGGGGAGCGUUCUGUAAGCCUGUGAAGGUGUGCUGUGAGGUAUGCUGGAGGUAUCAGAAGUGCGAAUGCUGACAUAAGUAACGAUAAAGCGGGUGAAAAGCCCGCUCGCCGGAAGACCAAGGGUUCCUGUCCAACGUUAAUCGGGGCAGGGUGAGUCGACCCCUAAGGCGAGGCCGAAAGGCGUAGUCGAUGGGAAACAGGUUAAUAUUCCUGUACUUGGUGUUACUGCGAAGGGGGGACGGAGAAGGCUAUGUUGGCCGGGCGACGGUUGUCCCGGUUUAAGCGUGUAGGCUGGUUUUCCAGGCAAAUCCGGAAAAUCAAGGCCGAGGCGUGAUGACGAGGCACUACGGUGCUGAAGCAACAAAUGCCCUGCUUCCAGGAAAAGCCUCUAAGCAUCAGGUAACAUCAAAUCGUACCCCAAACCGACACAGGUGGUCAGGUAGAGAAUACCAAGGCGCUUGAGAGAACUCGGGUGAAGGAACUAGGCAAAAUGGUGCCGUAACUUCGGGAGAAGGCACGCUGAUACGUAGGUGAAGCGACUUGCUCGUGGAGCUGAAAUCAGUCGAAGAUACCAGCUGGCUGCAACUGUUUAUUAAAAACACAGCACUGUGCAAACACGAAAGUGGACGUAUACGGUGUGACGCCUGCCCGGUGCCGGAAGGUUAAUUGAUGGGGUUAGCGCAAGCGAAGCUCUUGAUCGAAGCCCCGGUAAACGGCGGCCGUAACUAUAACGGUCCUAAGGUAGCGAAAUUCCUUGUCGGGUAAGUUCCGACCUGCACGAAUGGCGUAAUGAUGGCCAGGCUGUCUCCACCCGAGACUCAGUGAAAUUGAACUCGCUGUGAAGAUGCAGUGUACCCGCGGCAAGACGGAAAGACCCCGUGAACCUUUACUAUAGCUUGACACUGAACAUUGAGCCUUGAUGUGUAGGAUAGGUGGGAGGCUUUGAAGUGUGGACGCCAGUCUGCAUGGAGCCGACCUUGAAAUACCACCCUUUAAUGUUUGAUGUUCUAACGUGGACCCGUGAUCCGGGUUGCGGACAGUGUCUGGUGGGUAGUUUGACUGGGGCGGUCUCCUCCUAAAGAGUAACGGAGGAGCACGAAGGUUGGCUAAUCCUGGUCGGACAUCAGGAGGUUAGUGCAAUGGCAUAAGCCAGCUUGACUGCGAGCGUGACGGCGCGAGCAGGUGCGAAAGCAGGUCAUAGUGAUCCGGUGGUUCUGAAUGGAAGGGCCAUCGCUCAACGGAUAAAAGGUACUCCGGGGAUAACAGGCUGAUACCGCCCAAGAGUUCAUAUCGACGGCGGUGUUUGGCACCUCGAUGUCGGCUCAUCACAUCCUGGGGCUGAAGUAGGUCCCAAGGGUAUGGCUGUUCGCCAUUUAAAGUGGUACGCGAGCUGGGUUUAGAACGUCGUGAGACAGUUCGGUCCCUAUCUGCCGUGGGCGCUGGAGAACUGAGGGGGGCUGCUCCUAGUACGAGAGGACCGGAGUGGACGCAUCACUGGUGUUCGGGUUGUCAUGCCAAUGGCACUGCCCGGUAGCUAAAUGCGGAAGAGAUAAGUGCUGAAAGCAUCUAAGCACGAAACUUGCCCCGAGAUGAGUUCUCCCUGACCCUUUAAGGGUCCUGAAGGAACGUUGAAGACGACGACGUUGAUAGGCCGGGUGUGUAAGCGCAGCGAUGCGUUGAGCUAACCGGUACUAAUGAACCGUGAGGCUUAACCUU
rnacentral:rRNA from 1 species